ACGUCUCUCUUGGUUGCUGAUUUUUAGAGCUUGAUUGCUGCAAAAUCAAGAGAAGGAGAUGAAGAAAAGAAGAAAAGAAAAAGACCAAGAAAAUGAUCAAAACUUGAUUGCAAUCCAGACUUCGUUCAGAUUUGCAGGGUGAUCAUUCUUGGAUAAGAAAGAUUUACAUUAAAGAGGGUUGCUCCAAACUGAUCCUAAGUAGAUAUCCAUA
rnacentral:lncRNA from 1 species